rnacentral:lncRNA from 1 species
GUAAGUUAUGUAUGUGUAAAUUAUGGUAAAUGAGUCAUAUUGUUUGAUAUUGUUUUGGCAUGUAUUUGGCAAAGUAAAUGGUAGUUAUUUGAGAUUUGGAAUAGAUGAAAUUUCAAUGGUAUGAAUUAUGCAUUUUGUUGAUGAUUUUGGCUGCCUAAUUGUAUGAUGAAAUGGUGCCAUUUUGCCUUUUGUAGGUACAUUGAAG